CUCCCUCAGGCCAGAGAUGCCCUUAUUCCCAGACUUACCAAAUUGGAGGAUGGGUGGGAAAAGGUGCCCUGCCAAUCAGGAAGAGGAGCAAAAUCGCUCUGCUGGAGGAUCAUUAAAGAAAACAAAUCCUGGAGUGCUGAGCUCAAAUGUUUAAAAAAUCACACUUAGUGCAAAUAAAAACCUCAGAAAGUUGUGCCUGUUGUGGGUUUUCUCCCUUAGGAGAAUGCGAUUCUGGCAUCCAGUAGAAGAGCCAUCUGAAAUGAAGCCACACGGAGGCUCAGAGAGUCCCAUCCCUGUUCUCUGUCAGGGUGGGUGGCAGUGUCUGGUGCUGAGUACUUGUCAAUGGCCUGGGCAGAGGCUGUGAGAAAUGGCAGGGACCAGACCAACACAGAGUGACUUCAACUUGUCACCAAAGGGAAGGAAUGAGAAUAUUCUACAUCCGGCUCAUGUUCUUCACACUAGAUGAGCAUCCAGAAGCCUCAUUAGGAUCCCUCAGGAAAGGGCCACACCCACAGCAGGCUAGAGGUUCUCAGGCUAGG